AAUUAGUGGAGAAAUAAUCUUCCCUUUAAUAUUACAUAGAGAUAGAGUGUAGAGAUAAGUGUUUUGAACUAAGGUUGAGGAGUAGCAGAUUGAUUCGCACGUGCUACAAUGCGGCUGCAGCUUGUUUUGCCUAAUAUUGUUCAGAUAAUCCAUGUUUAUUCCCAUAAACUGGUCCAUCGAUUGUUAGACCAGUACAUAGCAGCAAAUAUAUUUAUUUCUCCCAAGUUCAUAGUGCAAGUCCAUGAACUGUCAAUAUGCUAGCUAGGCGAAGUGUCCGAGCCAUGACAGUGACGGCUUCUCCCUGAAUCCGCACUCGCCGAUUCGCAACAUCCAGCUCCAGGUAUAGUGUCCCGCUCCUUGGAGAUACCUGAUGAUGAAAUGAACAGAAAAAUGGAAAUUGACAUGAUAGUUUGGUUGAUUGAGCGCUAACUGUAGCAUUUCCUCUCCCUGGCGUGGCGGCUCGCGGGAAGAGCCUGCUGGUAGCCCCCCCUGGCGCCCGGGGUCGGCUGCCGCGGCAGGCGGCGACGGCGGCCGCCACGCCAAUUGCGUCGGCCCCCUCCUCCUUGCAGCAACUGCCGGGGAGGCGCGGGUGGCGGCAACGGGUAACACCCGGCGGGUGCGGUAGGACGCGGCUGGGUCGGCGUGGCUGGUGGAGCGGGACCACCACAGGUGGUGAAGUAGCCCGGAUGAUCCAUCGACGGGGCGGGCGGAGCAUGGCCGCCGGUCAUUGGCGGGGCCGGCUGCAUGUAGGUGAAGGGAGCCGGUGCGUCUGCGGACAUGUAGCCGAAGAGAGAUGAAGCGGCAGGAGACAUCGAAGUGGCGGUGACGGCGUCUAGGGGAGGAGGCACGACGGCGGCCAGGGAGGAGCGGCGGCGCGCGUGGGGAUGAGCGGCGGCGACGGCACAGACUAGCGGCGGCGGCUAGAGGCGGCAGCGAUGGCUGGGUGCGGCCGCGGCGGCUAGAGGCGGCAGCGACUGGGUGCGACGGCGGCGAUGGCGGCAAGGACCUACGGCGGCGGCGGCACAUAGAGGAUAGGACGCGGCAGCGGCAAGGACCAGCGGCGGCGGCCGGAGAGAACCGGCGGCGGCGGCGGGUGGAGGGAGCGGCGGCGGCGGCUAGACUAGGGUUAGGAUCGACUUGCGAUAGAUACCAUGUAGAGAGAUGUUUUGCCAAUACAAUAAUUGUUGUAUUGAUGAGGUGCUGGUACACGUAUAUAUAAGUGUAGGGUAGACCUCAACCUCAACUAUACACAACUAGGAGAUGGGUCACAACACGUAAUACAUGCAACACAAAUUACAACUCAACAUGAUACAUGUUGUGUUUGUUUAGGACUAAGCAUCGAGUUGUAAAAUACAUUAACACUGGGAGACAUCUAAAGAAUUCAUUAGCUUGGUUAGAUGAGCUGGUUAGUGCUUGUGUGCUUAUUCUGACCAGAUGACAAAAAUUAGUGGAGAAAUAAUCUUCCCUUUAAUAUUACAUAGAGAUAGAGAGUAGAGAUAAGUGUUUUGAACUAAGGUUGAGGAGUAGCAGAUUGAUUCGCACGUGCUACAAUGCGGCUGCAGCUUGUUUUGCCUAAUAUUGUUCAGAUAAUCCAUGUUUAUUCCCAUAAACUGGUCCAUCGAUUGUUAGACCAGUACAUAGCAGCAAAUAUAUUUAUUUCUCCCAAGUUCAUAGUGCAAGUCCAUGAACUGUCAAUAUGCUAGCUAGGCGAAGAGUGUCCCAGCCAUGACAGUGACGGCUUCUCCCUGAAUCCGCACUCGCCGAUUCGCAACAUCCAGCUCCAGGUAUAGUGUCCCGCUCCUUGGAGAUACCUGAUGAUGAAAUGAACAGAAAAAUGGAAAUUGACAUGAUAGUUUGGUUGAUUGAGCGCUAACUGUAGCAUUUCCUCCCCCUGGCGUGGCGGCCCGCGGGAAGAGCCUGCUGGUAGUCCCCCCCUGGCGCCCGGGGUCGGCUGCCGCUGCAGGCGGCGACGGCGGCCGCCACGCCAGUUGUGUCGGCCCCCUCCUCCUUGCAGCAACUGCCGGGGAGCGCGGGUGGCGGCAACGGGUAACACUCGGCGGGUGCGGUAGGACGCGGCUGGGUCGGCGUGGCUGGUGGAGCGGGACCACCACAGGUGGUGAAGUAGCCCGGAUGAUCCAUCGACGGGGCGGGCGGAGCAUGGCCGCCGGUCAUUGGCGGGGCCGGCUGCAUGUAGGUGAAGGGAGCCGGUGCGUCUGCGGACAUGUAGCCGAAGAGAGAUGAAGCGGCAGGAGACAUCGCAGUGGCGGUGACGGCGUCUAGGGGAGGAGGCACGACGGCGGCCAGGGAGGAGCGGUGGCGCGCGUGGGGAUGAGCGGCGGCGACGGCACGGACUAGCGGCGGCGGCUAGAGGCGGCAGCGGUGGCUGGGUGCAGCCGCGGCGGCUAGAGGCGGCAGCGACUGGGUGCGACGGCGGCAAGGACCUACGGCGGCGGCGGCGCAUAGAGGAUAGGACGCGGCAGCGGCAAGGACCAGCGGCGACGGCCGGAGAGAACCGGCGGCGGCGGCGGGUGGAGGGAGCGGCGGCGCGAUGGAGGAGCGGCGGCGGCGGCUAGACUAGGGUUAGGAUCGACUUGCGAUAGAUACUAUGUAAAGAGAUGUUUUGCCAAUACAAUAAUUGUUGUAUUGAUGAGGUGCUGGUACACGUAUAUAUAAGUGUAGGGUAGACCUCAACCUCAACUAUACACAACUAGGAGAUGGGUCACAACACGUAAUACAUGCAACACAAAUUACAACUCAACAUGAUACAUGUUGUGUUUGUUUAGGACUAAGCAUCGAGUUGUAAAAUACAUUAACACUGGGAGACAUCUAAAGAAUUCAUUAGCUUGGUUAGAUGAGCUGGUUAGUGCUUGUGUGCUUAUUCUGACCAGAUGACAAAAAUUAGUGGAGAAAUAAUCUUCCCUUUAAUAUUACAUAGAGAUAGAGAGUAGAGAUAAGUGUUUUGAACUAAGGUUGAGGAGUAGCAGAUUGAUUCGCACGUGCUACAAUGCGGCUGCAGCUUGUUUUGCCAUAUUGUUCAGAUAAUCCAUGUUUAUUCCCAUAAACUGGUCCAUCGAUUGUUAGACCAGUACAUAGCAGCAAAUAUAUUUAUUUCUCCCAAGUUCAUAGUGCAAGUCCAUGAACUGUCAAUAUGCUAGCUAGGCGAAGAGUGUCCCAGCCAUGACAGUGACGGCUUCUCCCUGAAUCCGCACUCGCCGAUUCGCAAUAUCCAGCUCCAG
rnacentral:lncRNA from 1 species